GAUGAACGCUAGCGAUAGGCUUAACACAUGCAAGUCGAGGGACCGGCGCACGGGUGCGUAACGCUUAUACAACUUGCCUCACACAGGGGGAUAACCCGUCGAAAGACGGACUAAUACCGCGUCCUUUGAGAUAGGCAUGCGUCCCAUUAGCUAGUUGGUUAGGUAACGUCUCACCAAGGCAACGAUGGGUAGGGGAACUGAGAGGGUGAACCCCCAGACUGGUACUGAGGCCCGGACCAGACUCGUACGGGAGGCAGCAGUGAGGAAGAUUGGUCAAUAGGCGAGAGCCGGACCAAGCCAAGUCGGGUGAAGGAUGACUGUCUAUGGAUAGUAAACUGCUUUUGUAGGGGAAUAUGUACCCAACGAAUAAGCAUCGGCUAACUACGUGCCAGCCGCCGCGGUAAUAC
rnacentral:rRNA from 1 species